rnacentral:rRNA from 1 species
CAAUAGCGUAUAUUUAAGUUGUUGCAGUUAAAAAGCUCGUAGUUGGAUUUCGGGUGGGACGCAGCGGUCUCGCAUUGCGUUUGUACUGCUGCAGCCCUCCUUCUUGCCGGGGGCGGCCUCUCGGACUUCACUGUCUGGGGGUCAGAAUCGGCGAUGUUACUUUGAGUAAAUUAGAGUGUUCAAAGCAAGCUUACGCUCUGAAUAUAAUAGCAUGGGAUAACACGACAGGACUCUGGCCUAUCGUGUUGGUCUAUAGGACCAGAGUAAUGAUUAAGAGGGACAGUCGGGGGCAUUCGUAUUCCGUUGUCAGAGGCGAAAUUCUUGGAUUUACGGAAGACGAACAUCUGCGAAAGCAUUUGCCAAGGAUGUUUNCAUUGA